rnacentral:lncRNA from 1 species
AAGAGCGGGGAAGAAGGGAAUAAAGUCAUUACCUGGAAACAGAGGUUCCAUCAUCGUUGUCACCGUCGUCACCUUUGGCAAGGUAAAUCUCAAAAUUCCUUAUUUCAUUUAAUUCUUUGUCACCAUGAUGCAGAGAAGAGCUAUGGGAAUCGAAGCCCCAAUCCCUUGGCUCUGAUUCUCGGGGAGAGGCGUUUAAUUUAAGAUCUUGAAAUUAGGGUUCUUGAGGAUCCCGAUUCUGUUAGUGAGUUAGGUUUAUUUUUUAUGAAAUUAACAUGAUAUUCAUGGAGAGGAGAGAGAGACAGACAAGAUGAUGGUUGAGAUUCAUGUUUUGGUGGCCACUGCCGCUGGAAGCAAUUUCCGGCGCAGUGGUCCAUGGCGAUGAGGAGAGGGAGUGUUGACCCGAGUUGAGAGUGAGUGUGGCGCGUGUUUUAUUUUGAAUUCAUUUUCAGCACCCAAUCAAUGACCCUCACAUGUGCCCUUUGACUUAGGCUUCAUGGCUUAAUGAU